CAUUCCUACGGGGGGCAGCAGUGGGGGAUAUUGCACAAUGGGGGAAACCCUGAUGCAGCGACGCCGCGUGUGGGAAGACGGUCCUCUGGAUUGUAAACCACUGUCCCCAGGGACGAAGAUGACGGUACCUGGGGAGGAAGCUCCGGCUAACUACGUGCCAGCAGCCGCGGUAAUACGUAGGGAGCAAGCGUUAUCCGGAUUUACUGGGUGUAAAGGGCGCGUAGGCGGGAUGGCAAGUCAGA
rnacentral:rRNA from 1 species